UGGCGGACGGGUGAGUAAUGUCUGGGAAACUGCCCGAUGGAGGGGGAUAACUACUGGAAACGGUAGCUAAUACCGCAUAACGUCGCAAGGCCAAAGAGGGGACCUUCGGGCCUCUUGCCAUCGGAUGUGCCCAGAUGGGAUUAGCUAGUAGGUGGGGUAACGGCUCACCUAGGCGACGAUCCCUAGCUGGUCUGAGAGGAUGACCAGCCACACUGGAACUGAGACACGGUCCAG
rnacentral:rRNA from 1 species